GACGAACGCUGGCGGCGUGCCUAAUACAUGCAAGUCGAACGCAUUUUCUUUCACCGUAGCUUGCUACACCGAAAGAAAAUGAGUGGCGAACGGGUGAGUAACACGUGGGUAACCUGCCCAUCAGCGGGGGAUAACACUUGGAAACAGGUGCUAAUACCGCAUAAUUCCAUUUACCGCAUGGUAGAUGGAUGAAAGGCGCUUUUGCGUCACUGAUGGAUGGACCCGCGGUGCAUUAGCUAGUUGGUGGGGUAACGGCCUACCAAGGCUGCGAUGCAUAGCCGACCGGAGAGGGUGAUCGGCCACACUGGGACUGAGACACGGCCCAGACUCCUACGGGAGGCAGCAGUAGGGAAUCUUCGGCAAUGGACACAAGUCUGACCGAGCAACGCCGCGGGAGUGAAGAAGGGUGUCGGAUCGUAAAACUCUGUUGUUAGAGAAGAACAAGGAUGAGAGUGGAAAGUUCAUCCCUUGACGGUAUCUAACCAGAAAGCCACGGCUAACUACGUG
rnacentral:rRNA from 1 species